rnacentral:tRNA from 1 species
GGGCCCGUAGCCCAGUACGGAUAAAGGCGCCGGCCUCCGGAGCCGGAGAACCGGGGUUCAAAUCCCCGCGGGCCCG